GGUGUGGUCUUGUUGGAAGAAGUAUGUCCCUGGGGGGAUUUGAAGUUUCAAAAGCCUACAGCAGACCUGGCGUCUUUCUCCCUCUACCUAGGGAUCAGGAUGUAGCUCUCAACUACUUUUCCAGUUCCAUGCCUGCCAUGCCUGCUGCCAUGCUCCCCACCAUGAAGAUGAUGGGCUAACCCUCUGAAACUGUAAGCCAGCCCCAAUUCAAUGCUUUCCUUUAUAAGAGUUGCCUUCGUCACGGUGUCUCUUCACAGCAACAGAACAGUGACCAGGACAGGGUCUCCCUAUGUAGCCCUGGCUGCUUUGGAACUUGUUAUGCCGACUAGACCUCAAGCGCACAAUGAUCCACCUGUCUCUGCUUCCUGAGUGCUGAGAUUAAAGGGAUGCACCACCAUUGCCCACUCAAAUACAACAUUUUUAAAGGCAUAAAAGGGAGGGCCCGGAGGCUGGGUGGCAUGUUGGGACAUGCCCCUACUGUGACACAGGGCUCUCUUCUGGGAACAAGACCCAAGGGAGCUUGUGGUCCCGUUUCUGGUGCUGGUCAGCUUCCCUCGGAACUAGCACUCUGCGUUGCCAGCCUGCUUCCCCCACUUUAUCCUUGAUCUGUGCGGUGGGCCUCAGCCAGAGGAGUGGCUGUCCUGGGAAGGACGCCCAGAACUGUGAAUGGGAAAUCAUACCAGUCUCACAUUUAACAUGGCUUUAUUUCCUAAGGCAAGAAAAUGCAAAAGACAUUUGUGUGGUCAAGAUUUCUCCAGAAGCAGGGUGAGGUGACCUGUGAGGAUGGGUCACUACUCUCUAAACCCAGAAAGUCUAUAAAAUCAUGCAAAUCGAGAAGGUCAUGUCUUCAUGUGAAACUGCCCAGGCUGUCAAGGGUAUGCAUAUCCCAAAACCCACCAUCUCAAAGAUGGCACUUUAAAGAAGGAGGAUUGGCUGUCCACGCUCAGCUGGUCAAGUGCUUGCUUAGCACGCUUGCAGCUCUGGGGUCAGUCCUCAGCACCACAUACACUUGGCAUGGUGUCACAUGCCUGUAAGCCCAGCACUCAGGAGGUAGAGGCAGAAGAGUUAAGAAUUCACGGUCGAGUAACAUGGCCAAGAUGGAGACACAAAACUCCGGGACGGAGGACGGCUUUUCUCCCCGUCACGCACAGAGGGGGCCAGAGGGCGAAGAAGGACAGGCGGAGCAGCGGGACAGGAUGGAGACACCAGCUGCCGCAUGGACACGGAGGAGGCGCGACCUGGCGAAGAGGCCGGUCUUCCCUCCGCUCUCGGGCAAGCGGCUCCUGACUGGGAAAGAAGAAACGAGAAAGAUUCCUGUCCCCGGUAACAGAUACACACCAUUAAAAGAAAACUGGAUGAAGGUAUUUACUCCAAUAGUAGAACAUUUGGGACUUCAGAUACACUUUAACCUGAAAUCAAGGAAUGUAGAAAUCAGCACUUGUAAAGACACCAAGGAUGUCAAAAGCGGCCGACUUUGUGAAAGCCUUUGUUCUUGGGUUUCAGGUGGAGGAUGCGCUUGCCCGUAUCAGGCUGGAUGGCCUCCUCCUAGAGUCUUCUGAAAUAACCAACGUUACGCCCCUAAAAGGAGACCACCUGUCAAGGGCAAUACGAAGAAUUGCUGGCAAAGGAGGAAAAACCAAAUUUACAAUAGAGAAUGUGACACGGACACGGAUUGUUUUGGCAGAUGUGAAAGUUCACAUUCUCAGCCCUUUCCAGAACAUCAAGAUGUUGAGAACUGCCAUUUGCAACCUCAUCCUAGGAAAUCCUCCAUCAAAAGUGUACAGCAAUGUCUGAGCUGUGGCCGGCAGAUCAGCGGACCGAUUCUGAUUCCCCUCCAACCCUUGAGAUAUUCACAUAAAACCAUGGGAAUAUUUCCUAGCCACCUACAGGUCGGGUUCCUUUUCAGGUCUCAGCCAGAGCAGAAGCAGAAGGGAAGGUUUAACCGGACUUGGCACUCCUGCUUCUAGGAUAAUUUAAACAUCAAAAUGUAAUACUUUUAAUACUUCACACAUGAAGCGUAAAUUGCUGUAUUUUUCACUUUAAUCACAUGUGGCAGAUUCACAGUUUAAAAUCUUGUCAUUUAGAGAUGACUUCGUAAGACAGAUUUAUAACUAAACUAAGCAUUUUUUCCUCUGAAAUUUUUAAGGAAAAUCUCAGAAGACCUGAGAAUCACAAUCCUUGGUACUGAGCCCCGUGACUACUUCAGGGAUGGGUCAUAGCACUAAUCUGUGCUAUGGAACCUUAGGUGCUCGUCUGUGUGCAACUUAUGAAAGGAAAGCCUGCAUCACAAGGCUAAUGAAUUGCUUUUUAAGGAAGUAAUGAAAGUAAAACCGUUUUCCCAAGAAAACUAUGUUUUCCAAAUAGUAUAUUCUUAGAACUAGUGUCUGUGUAUAUGAAUUUGCUUAUUUCGUACAUUGUUUAGAACCUACUUCAUUAAACAUGUGAUUAAGAUACUACAUUCUCUUGUUUCUCAAAGGCCUUGACCAAACUAUUGUGAUGAUUGGAGUAUCAGGAAAUCCAUGCAAUAACUAAAAGAAGUAGUACUUUAAAAAAAAUUAACUUAAAAAUAAAAAGAAUUCAAGGUCAUGUAGCCUCAAGACGCUGAGGCGCUUCGGUCAGGAGCACCUGCCUGUGCCCUGCCAGGAGACCUGUGUUCCAGCUGUGCCCUCAACACCCAAGGAGGACAGUGGCAGAGCCUGUGCCAUGAGGCCUGGCUAGGGCACUCCUGUGCUUCUUAAGUAGAAGCUGUCGGUAUGAUAGGUGCUCGGGAUAUGGAUGGCUGCCAGGCAGACACAGAGGAUGAGGAGGAGAGCACAGAGACUGUGAUCAUCAAUGUGCUGGAUGCUGAGGGGUGAGAAGGGGUCACCUGUGUCCACAUUUUGGGAAUUACAGGUGUCAAAGUGAAAGACCCAAGGACUCUGGGAGAGGGCCAUCCAUGCGGCAGAAAGUCAAGUGCAAGUGCCCAGAGCUGAGGGGUAGGAGUGGGGCAUAGCCUGGGCAGCAGAGACCAGUGCCUCCUUCUCCCUGUGGAAGGCUCCUCCUUUGACAGACAGGACACUGGGAGGAGUGGAGGGAGGGGACACUCUGGUCAGGAUGUACUGAAAACAAAAGAAAUACUAAUAAUUUAAAAAGUAUGUGUGUGUGUGUGUGUGCAUGAAUUUAGGUGCCCCACAAGUGUGCAGAAGGCCCUGAAGGCCAGAAGAGAGCAGCAGAUCCCCUGGAAUUACAGGUGAUUAUGAGCUCUCAUGUCAGUGCUGGGAACUAAACUCAGGUCCUCUGUGAGAGCAGUAACUGCUCCUAACCACCAAGCCAUCUCUCCAGCUCCUUUUUCUGACUCUUAAGGUAGCUCCUCUUCGUGUUUUAACGUGAAGUCUCUUGUGCUGGCUAGUCUUCUGUCAACAUGGCACAAGCUAGAGUCAUCAGAGAGGAGGAAGCCUCAACUGAGAAAACGCCUUCAUAAGAUCAGACUGUAGGCAAGCCU